rnacentral:rRNA from 1 species
UACGUAGGGUGCGAGCGUUAAUCGGAAUUACUGGGCGUAAAGCGUGCGCAGGCGGUUCGUUAUGUCCGAUGUGAAAGCCCCGAGCUUAGCUUGGGAAUGGCAUUGGAAACUGGCGGGCUGGAGUGCGGCAGAGGGGGGUGGAAUUCCACGUGUAGCAGUGAAAUGCGUAGAGAUGUGGAGGAACACCGAUGGCGAAGGCAGCCCCCUGGGCCGACACUGACGCUCAGGCACGAAAGCGUGGGGAGCAAACACG